GAUGAACGCUAGCGGCAGGCUUAACACAUGCAAGUCGAGGGGCAUCCGAGAGAGUAGCAAUACUUUUGUCGGCGACCGGCGGACGGGUGCGUAACGCGUAUGCAACCUACCUUAUACAGGGGGGAUAACCUUUCGAAAGGGAGACUAAUACCGCAUAACAUUACUUUGAGGCAUCUUGAGGUAAUUAAAUCUUCGGAGGUAUAAGAUGGGCAUGCGUAGCAUUAGCUAGAUGGUGCGGUAACGGCGUACCAUGGCGACGAUGCUUAGGGGUUCUGAGAGGAAGGUCCCCCACACUGGUACUGAGAUACGGACCAGACUCCUACGGGAGGCAGCAGUGAGGAAUAUUGGGCAAUGGGCGAAAGCUUGACCCAGCAACGCCGCGUGAGUGAAGAAGUAUUUCGGUAUGUAAAGCUCUAUCAGCAGGGAAGAUAAUGACGGUACCUGACUAAGAACGCCCGGCUAACUACGUG
rnacentral:rRNA from 1 species